CCCAAGCCUAACCUCAGAUGUUCUUCAGGGAUAGACUCUCCACAACCUUCCUGGGCAACCUGUUGCAUUGCUCCAUUAGCCUCACAGUAAAGAACUUCUUCCUAAUGUCCAACCUAAAUCUACCCUGAAUGUCCAAUCAAAAAUCACAAACAAUAUAUUCAGAACAUUUGUCUCAAACACUCAAAAUAGCCAUAAUUGUCUAACAGUUUGGAUUGUGGAUUAUCUUUACAGAGGAUGUCAUUGUGGUAGUUAUAUUUAAACUUGGUGUAUCUCAGAUGAAAAAUUUCAGGAAAGAAGAAAAGUUAAUGUUUUAAAGCUUUAAGAAAUAAGAAUGUAAGGCUGAAACCACAUCUACCCAAACUUAGUCUUAUUUUGACUAUAAUAAUCUUCUAUUUAAGUAGUAUUCUCAAUUACAUAUAGAUUCACUGGCACCAAGAAGAUGGAAAAGUAAUGCUUUUGCCCUUGUUGGUUAAGAACAACAUAAAAUAGGUCUGUUCAUUUGUUCAGCUUGCAGUGGAGCUUAAAUUUUGUGUAAUGAAAGUGUUAAUUGAAGAGGAAUGGCAGCUGAAAUAGCAGCCAUCACAUACAAAUAUAUUGAUGAAUAUUUGGGAUGUAUCUAUUUCUCCAGGGAUUCCUGUACAAGUUCUGUUAGAAGAACCAUAGGCUCUACAAGGAGAAGUGGCAGAAACAGUUACAGUGGAACCAGCUUGAUGUUGAGUUACUGAUUUGCCAAGUAAGUGUGUGUUAAAUGGAACAAAAAAAAAUCUCCCUGGACACAACAGGACAUAAUGGGAUGUGACAAAGAGGCUCUGAGGGGUCUCCUUCUCUGGAGACUUUCAAGGCCUGUCUGGAUGUGUUACUCUGUGUUAGAUAGCAUUGUCCUGCUCUGGCAGGGGGGUUGGACUCGGUGAUCUCCUUGGGUCCCUUCCAACCCCUAACAUCCUGUGAUCCUGUGAUGUAGGCUUAAACCCACAACAAAGUAGCAAAAAAAAUUGCUAGGACAGAAAAACCCAGAAAGUGCUCUGAGUUGUCUGCUGAAAGACCAUCUUUUGCUGCUUGUCUGCUGUAUUGCCUGUCUUCAUAUACCUGGCAACAGCCAAAAGUUUAUAAGCAAGUCAAAACAUUAAGAUAACCUUGCAAGAUGAGUGGUAGUUCACUUCUCAGGGAAGUGGGGUCAAACAACAUUGAUGACCUUUUGUGCAGACUUCCCUCACAGUUAAAGCUAAGAUGAUUUCUGUAGCUGAUGUAUGUUAACUUUUGUGUGAAUUCCCUCAUUAAGUUUCUCAUCUGCUGUGGCAUCUGUUAAACCAGAAAGAAUUGAAACUAGUUCUACUUUUCUAGGACACUGUUGCAGUGAUUUAGUGGAUCUUGUGUAGCCUGAACUUCUACACAGCCAGGGGCAAAGAUAAGAAGGGAUUAUGUGCAGGUCUUCAAAUGCAGGUAUUUGCAAACCCACAGGUGAAGAGCCGCGGGCACUUUAAUCUUGGUGAGUCCACAGGUGAUGUGCUUUUGGACUCCCUCCAUUUCCAGCAUAACAAAACUUGUAGAGCAAAUCAAAAAGCCACACACAGGAUGAGAAGUGAGACAUGAUCAGCACCUCAGCUCUCUGCUUCAGAUUGGGAUGCCCUUCAUGUUGAUCUGUGUAGUAGGUGCUUACUAGAUCUACACAAAAUUCUGGGCCUUUGGCAUGCCGGUCUUCACAUCACUGUGGCACCAGUUUGUGCUUCAAAAUCACCCUUGCCAUUAGUGCUGCAACCAAAUGUCAAAUGAGUGCCAUAGCUCUGAAACCUGACUUGACUACUGAACUUCAAGCAAUUGAGAAAUGUAAUGGAACCUAAUCAAGUUAAUUCCUGAAUUUAUAUCCAGAGUGAAUUUCACUAAAACCUUUCCCCCAGGAGGCUUGGGAAGCAGAGUAAAAGCUGUAUGGAGACAGAAGGAGCUCAAAUACCUGAAAAUGGGAGAAGGAAGAAGAAUGUGGUUGUGCUGUGUGGAAGUCAAGGAUUUAAAAACUAAACACAGAUAGUUUAGGCCAUUUUUCCCUGUUGUUUGGGAGCCAGAAGAGGCUAAAUCACUGCCAUUUGGAAAUGCUUAAAUGCUAUCACUCUAAGAGCAAUUUCUUCACUGUUGUGGCUUUUUCCACAGACAUCAGCCUGUGGAAGUGUCAGCAGAUUAGCAGUUGGACGCCUCUUACAGCCACAAUAAAACCUCAAUAAAAAGGCAAAAAUAACAACUAAAGGUAAAUGAAUGCCAUGUUAGAAUCAUUACCUUUAUCCUUAGCUCUCCUUGAGUUUAAUCUUGUGUCAGGCUUUCCACUAUUUUUUAAAGGACAACUGUCAGGCAAAAUGGAGUAUUGUAACCUGGCUCUGUAAUGUUUUUAAACUUGGAAAAAAAUGUAUCUUAGGCAUUCCUUUUUAACAUUUAAUAUUCCCUUUGCCUGCCAGUGAGCCAGCUGUGAUGGGAUUUUAACCAAAUUGUAUUGUCUUGAUUAUAAAUGGCCUUUUAGCCACCAAAUAAACUCUUCUGUAAGACAGAGUAA